GCUGGCAGCCCCUUCUCUAGAAUUAUAAAAAAAAGAAGAAAAGAAAUGGAGAGUAGAAGAAUCGGGAAAGAGAAAAGGAAAGGAAAAAGAGAGAAAGAGAUAAGGAGAAGAAGAAGAAGGGAAGGAGGGAGAUGGUGGCUGGAUUUUUGAGAUUUCUUUGGCAAAGAUGAAGGCUGGCAAAGGAAAAAGAGGGAGAGUGGUCUGAAAACCAAGAAAUUAGAGAGAGAAAGGGAGGAAGAUGAUGAAUAGGAGCAGGGGCAACAACUUUGUCUUCUAUCCAGGUGAUUCAAAUCAAUAAUUUUCUCAUUCCAAGCAGAACCAAUAAGCAGUGGGUUGCAUCGUGAGUUUGAUAUUGAUUUUAUUUGUAAUUUCAAUAUUAUUAAUUUAUAUUCAAGGCAUGCUCAUCCAUUCACUUAUAUGUAUGUAUAUAAUUAGUUAAAUGCUAGGCACGCUCCUUUGCUGCAUAUGUUAUUGAAUUAUUUGUGGAUGUUACCUUAAGAUAACUUGAAGCUUUAUGUGUG